AAAUGGUUCCUGGGUGCAGCUGUUUCUGCAGCUCACCCCUCCCCCAGGUGAAGGAUCAGAUGCAGAGAACUCCUUUCACACACUGAGGAGCGUGACAGCGUACAGGACUAAAUAUGUGCGGCCAAAACAAAAAUUCAUCCUUAGACACACUUGAAAUACAUGCGGGGAAUGCAGCAGUUUGCAUCUUAGCUGCAUGUUUUACGUGUGGCCAACAUGAAUUUCUAUUAGUUUUUGUGCUGGUUGCAAGUAAAUACGUGCAAAUAACAACCUUUUUGUUUGGGCUUAUUGGCAGCAGAAUGACUGUUGGUGUGUUGGUGCCCUAAAAACAUUGCUCUUGCAUGAAACAGUCAUGAAUGUGGAUGAGAUGGAGAGAAGAACCUGUGUGCCGCCAUUGAGGAGAUGGCUUAGCUGGACGAGAACGUCACGAGUCUCACCUUCAGGAUGUAACCUCUGCUGGAUGUGGUCAGAAUCCGGAUCUGGAUUCCUUGCUGGAAACGUGGGACAUGUCCAGGAACAUUAAAAGUGGAUCUCAAGCACACAAAGAACAGAACAAAGAGGAACCUUUUGAAGUUUGUUCCAGGCUGUCAAAUCAAAUGCAAGAAGAAUCAACAACAGUUAAAACUCCUCAGACGAGGCUCUCCUGCAAAGUUGCAAGAUCCAACAUAGAAAGUGCAGAAAUGUGGCGUGAUUGCACAAUUGCAUGAGCAAUGUACAGUGUACAGUUUUCUAUGACCACAGAGCUAAACUGGGGAUGUUGAACAAACACGCAUCAGUAAAAAUAAGGAAUGAACAUGAACAGUUCCAACCGUCAAAAUUGUUCAGGAAUUCAGUCAUUGCCACAUCAUGGAAAACUUGGAUGAUGUUGAACGAUUAGCUCGGGUUUAUAUGUUUUGGAGAACUCUGCAGAUGCGCCGGCGUCGUGUCUGGGUUCACCAGAUCUUUCAGAGUCUCCACCAGUGUGGUGUGUACUUAACUCAUGUAGCCAUAGCUGCACCUGAGGGCCGUUUUAAAGGUUCCUUCCGUCUGUCUGUGGCCCAGUUUGAGCAUUAACUCAAUAGAUGGGAAAUAAAAAUAAAACUGGAGAAUCUUUUUAUUAUUGUCUUGAUGAAAAUAGGAAAGACAUCAGAAGCCUCUGAAGCUGGAGCAAUUGCACGUACUACAACGACACUUGCGGCAGCUUUGCGGGCUGUUGGGUAGCUAACCGGCAGCAAGCAAGCAGAGGGGCUCCACUGCCCAGGGACCAGCAGCCUGGGAAGUAGACCUUGCUAGUUCUGCUGGGCAGAUCUGGAGCCUGGGGAGUGAAACUUGCUAGGUGGUAAGCUAGCCACCGGGCGGCUGGCUAGCAUGGCUAUCAAUCCAACGCCAUGGGCUCUGUGACAGGCUGGUGACCUGUUUAGGGUGUUUCCUGUCUUUGCCCAACAGUAACUAAGACAGUCUUCAGUAACCCUGCGGCCCCAGCAGGUUAAGAAAAUGGAUGAAAGUUCAGGGCUAAAAUCCUCGCAUUGAGCCGCCAUAUUAAAUCUGUUUUCUACCCUUUGAUCUAGUCCACAGGUGUCAAAACCCCACUUCAUGCUGCUAUUUACCUGGAUCAGGUGAGGUUUGUCUAUCAGAAUGGGGAAACAUCUUACAGUAAGCUAACCAGCAGAAAGCAAUGCAGAGAGGACUGGAAACAGGCAUGUUGGAAGAUCUGGAGGACCAGGAUUGGGCAGCCCUGCUUUAUGUAUUAAAAAAAGCAGAAAAUAUUUUCCAUCUUAGUCUUCUUAUGUUUGAGUGUGGACUAAAAAUGAAUAGCUCAGGAAGAACUUUAGAAAACUUGAAGAAUAUAUUUGGUUUGUUUAAAAGAUCUAAAGUGUAGGAUGAGAAUUUUGCCUGAAGCUACUUCAGCAGAAAGAGGGGGCCUGAGUUAAUUACAUGUGUGGCAUUGGUGACCUGGGGCAGCAUGCAUUAUAUAGUAUAGGAUGAGUUAAGCCAUGCAUGUUUGAUGCAGAUGUAUGCUUCUUGGAAAGGGGAAAGUUCCAACAAGUUCAGCAUGUCCAACUGUGGCUUUGAGGUGAAAAGAUUCCUCUCUUAGAAAACACAGAUCGUUGCAAAUGAACCUCAGUGCUUGAAAACAUCUUCAUGAUUUCCCAUCAAGUUGUGUUUAGUGCCUCUGCUGUCCACCUUCAUCAGAGGGUCUUUCUCCAUUUGUCUCCUCAUCUUCCUUUGGAGGUCUUUUCUCUGUGGGCCACACCUUCCAUGAUUGACUAAGUCAUCCCUGUGAGAAAAACGCAACCAAACAAACCAUAGUUGAGGGUUCUAGGUUGCAGUACAGUUCCCCUCCUUUGAGAAGGUUUGUCAUCUGUCUGAUAACCUUCAUGAAAGGUUUCUCAGGUUUUUGCAGCCAAAUGGGGAGAGCUACAUCUUCAGCUUUCUUGGAUUGUCAAUACUGGGAUGAGGGUCAGCACCUCCAAGUCUGAGGACAUGGUUCCUUACGUGAGAAAGAUGGAGAGUCUUCUGACUUUCUGUCUUUUUUUUUUUUUUAAAGAACAGCAAAGUCUGAGAGUGAAGCUCUCAGUUUAUGGGUCUACAAACCCACCUUUACCUAAACCUUAAAUUGUGGCUGAAAAGAGCUCCCUCGGAGCUCCAUCAAUCACACAAGGGGCCAAAAUCCAAAACACACCUGAGAUCACGGGCUGAACAGGAUUAACAUUUAUU